rnacentral:rRNA from 1 species
UAGGGAAUCUUCGGCAAUGGACGAAAGUCUGACCGAGCAACGCCGCGGGGGUGAAGAAGGUUUUCGGAUCGUAAAACUCUGUUGUUAGAGAAGAACAAGGACGUUAGUAACUGAACGUCCCCUGACGGUAUCUAACCAGAAAGCCACGCCUAACUACGUGCCAGCAGCCGCGGUAAAACGUAGGUGGCAAGCGUGGUCCGGAUUUUUUGGGCGUAAAGCGAGCGCAGGCGGUUUCUUAAGUCUGAUGUGAAAGCCCCCGGCUCAACCGGGGAGGGUCAUUGGAAACUGGGAGACUUGAGUGCAGAAGAGGGGAGUGGAAUUCCAUGUGUAGCGGUGAAAUGCGUAGAUAUAUGGAGGAACAGCAGUGGCGAAGGCGGCUCGCUGGUCUGUAACUGACGCUGAGGCUCGAAAGCGUGGGGAGCAAACAGG